rnacentral:lncRNA from 1 species
GCCCCCACUCCUAUCCCAACUCUUAUGGCUCCGAAGUCUACCAUCUUCCACGUGGCAAACCCUCUUCACCUCACAUCCCAACCUCAUUUUAAAUUCAACAAGCCAGUAAGAUAUGGUCUUCAUGGCCUGAAUGAAAAUGAGACCGAGAGCGGGAAAUGGUGAGCGUGUGUGGAUUCAAAACUGCUAGCUUCACGCGGAUGUGCAGCGGACUGACACGCAC